GUCCAGAGAAGCCUAGGCCUAGUGGACAUGACAUCUGCCCGGUAAGCGGAACACUGUGGGUUCGAUUCCCAUCCCAGGACA